rnacentral:lncRNA from 1 species
UUGGCAAGCUGUUUUUUUUUUUUAGGAAUCUGGGCUGCGACAAAUAUUUACAGAUCUAAUAUUUGGAAGAGAUGAUCCAGGACGUGGUUGGUAGUAGGGAGAAGAGUGUCUGUGGCUGAGCCCAUGAAGAAGGGAGUGGCCAGCUGUGCAGUAACUGAAGGAACCCCUUGUCCUGGAGCCCGCGUGUCUGCUGCUGUGGUGACGGCCAGCUGCCUUUCAAUAGAGCAGCUUUGGAAUCAGGAACAGAAUCCACCCACCAAAGGAUCCUGGGCAGUUCUUCUGGUCUUGACAUCACUGUUUUCUCCUCUAACUUUGUCAGACCAGUUGACUACAAAGGGACCUCUACCUGGCUGAGCACGUGGACUGGAGAGGUAAGCUUCUGUGACCUUGGAAAUCCUUCCUCCUGGGAUAGCAUCCCUCAGAGCUCCUACUCUUCCACCAGAGCAGUGAGCUCUCCUGUUCCCUUCCCAGGAUUUGUAUUUGUAUAUUGAUGUCAUUGC